UGAGUACGAGAUGCUACGGCGUCGAAGCAGUCUAGGUCAUACUUCCAAGAAAAGCUUGCACUGUCAUAAACAAAGAAUGCCUGUACCAUAACCGACACAGGUGGGUAGGUAGAGUAUACUAAGGGGCGCGAGAUAACUCUCUCUAAGGAACUCGGCAAAAUGACUCCGUAACUUCGGGAGAAGGAGUGCCUUAUUUUUAAGGUUGCAAUAACAAGAUCCAAGCAACUGUUUACCAAAAACACAGGUCUCCGCUAAGUCGUAAGACGAUGUAUGGGGGCUGACGCCUGCCCAGUGCCAGAAGGUUAAAGAAGUUGGUUAGCAUUCGCGAAGCUGAUAACUGAAGCCCUGGUGAACGGCGGCCGUAACAAUAACGGUCCUAAGGUAGCGAAAUUCCUUGUCGGGUAAGUUCCGACCCGCACGAAAGGCGUAAUGAUUUGGAUACUGUCUCGGAGAGGGGCUCGGUGAAAUAGACUUGUCUGUGAAGAUGCGGACUACCUGCACCUGGACAGAAAGACCCUAUGAAGCUUUACUGUAACUUGAGAUUGAAAUUGGACUUUAUUUGCGCAGUAUAGGUGGGAGGCGUUGAGAAUAAUCUUGCGGGAUUAUCGGAGCCAUCAGUGAGAUACCACUCUUGUAAUGUUAGAUUUCUAACUUUGUAUCAUUAUCUGGUCAAAGAACAGUUUCAGGCGGGCAGUUUGACUGGGGCGGUCGCCUCCCAAAGGGUAACGGAGGCGCACAAAGGUUUCCUCUGAACGGGUAGAAAUCGUAUCUAGAGUGUAAAGGCAUAAGGAAGCUUGACUGUGAGACCUACAAGUCGAGCAGGGACGAAAGUCGGUCUUAGUGAUCUGACGGUGCUGAGUGGAAAGGCCGUCACUCAACGGAUAAAAGUUACUCUAAGGAUAACAGGCUGAUCUCCCCCAAGAGUUCACAUCGACGGGGAGGUUUGGCACCUCGAUGUCGGCUCAUCGCAUCCUGGGGCGGUAGUACGUCCCAAGGGUUGGGCUGUCCGCCCAUGAAAGCGGUACGCGAGCUGGGUUCAGAACGUCGUGAGACAGUUCGGUCCAUAUCCGGUGUAGGCGUUAGAAUAUUGAAAGGAGCCUUCUCUAGUACGAGAGGACCGAGAAGGACAUACCUCUGGUGUGCCAGUUAUCGUGCCAACGGUAAACGCUGGGUAGCUAUGUAUGGAGUGGAUAACCGCUGAAAGCAUCUAAGUGGGAAGCCCACCUUAAGAUAAGUAUUCUCAUC
rnacentral:rRNA from 1 species